GAUUCUGGCUCAGAUUGAACGCUGGCGGCAGGCCUAAUACAUGCAAGUCGAACGGUAACAUAGGAAAAGCUUGCUUUCCUGAUGACGAGUGGCGGACGGGUGAGUAAUAUUUGGGAAGCUACCUGAUAGAGGGGGACAACAGUUGGAAACGACUGCUAAUACCGCAUACAGCCUGAGGGUGAAAGCAGCGAUGCGCUAUCAGAUGCGCCCAAAUGGGAUUAGCUAGUAGGUGAGGUAAAGGCUCACCUAGGCGACGAUCUCUAGCUGGUCUGAGAGGAUGAUCAGCCACAUUGGGACUGAGACACGGCCCAGACUCCUACGGGAGGCAGCAGUAGGGAAUAUUGCACAAUGGAGGAAACUCUGAAUGCAGCCACGCCGCGUGUGUGAAGAAGGCCUUCGGGUUGUAAAGCACUUUCGGAGGGGAGGAGAAUGACGUUACCCUCAGAAGAAGCACCGGCUAACUCCGUGCCAGCCGCCGC
rnacentral:rRNA from 1 species